GAAAUGCGAUAAGUAGUGUGAAUUGCAGAAUUCAGUGAAUCAUCGAAUCUUUGAACGCACAUUGCGCCCUUUGGUAUUCCUUAGGGCAUGCCUGUUCGAGCGUCAUCUAAACCUUCAAGCCCUGCUUGGUGUUGGGUGCCUGUCCCGCCUCCGCGCGCGGACUCACCUCAAAUCCAUUGGCGGCCCCCGCGUCGGCCACGAGCGCAGCAGAAACGCGAACUCGUGAGCCCGUCCGGGCGGCUCCCAGAAGCUACACCCACCCAGUUUGACCUCGGAUCAGGUAGGGAUACCCGCUGAACUUA
rnacentral:misc_RNA from 1 species